UACGUCGGUGAAAAAAAAAAC
rnacentral:piRNA from 1 species